rnacentral:rRNA from 1 species
GACAGAGGGUGCAAACGUUGUUCGGACUUACUGGGCGUAAAGCGCGUGUAGGCGGCUAAGUGUGUCGGGCGUGAAAUCCCACGGCUCAACCGUGGAAGUGCACCCGAAACUACGUAGCUAGAGUCCUGGAGAGGAAGGUGGAAUGCUUGGUGUAGAGGUGAAAUUCGUAGAUAUUCGGAAGAACACCAGUGGCGAAGGCGACUUACUGGACACAUAUUGACGCUGAGGUGCGAAAGCGUGGGGAGCAAACAGG